GUGCAAUUCUAUUGAUUGGUGAUAAAAUUGAGCUACAAGAUGAUGUUUAAGGAUGAUUGUUUUCUUGGAGAAAUUAUGAGCGUCAGAAGAACUUUGUUGAUAAGGCGUGGGUGCGUGCUAUCAACUACGGACCUGCAGUUUUUAGUUUAACGUGUUUUGUAUUUUUGGUUAUUUUUGUAAUUACGAAUUUAAUAUUUCAGAUAUUAGUAUUUUAUUUUAAAUAGAACUCUAAAGGAGAAGAGAGAGAGUGUAUUUAAGGGAGGAAUCUAUUGUGAAAAA
rnacentral:lncRNA from 1 species